UACGGAGGGUGCAAGCGUUAUCCGGAUUCACUGGGUUUAAAGGGCGCGUAGGUGGGAAUGUAAGUCAGUGGUGAAAUCUCCGUGCUUAACACGGAAACUGCCAUUGAUACUAUGUUUCUUGAAUUUUCUGGAGGUUAGCGGAAUAUGUCAUGUAGCGGUGAAAUGCUUAGAUAUGACAUAGAACACCAAUUGCGAAGGCAGCUAACUACAGGGAUAUUGACACUGAGGCUCGAAAGCGUGGGGAUCAAACAGG
rnacentral:rRNA from 1 species